UACGUAGGGGGCAAGCGUUGUCCGGAUUUAUUGGGCGUAAAGCGCUCGCAGGUGGUUCGUCGCGUCGUGCGUGAAAGACCCCGGCUCAACUGGGGGAGGUCGUGCGAUACGGGCGAACUGGAGGCCAGUAGGGGGAUGCGGAAUUCCGGGUGUAGUGGUGGAAUGCGUAGAGAUCCGGAGGAACACCAGCGGCGAAGGCGGCAUCCUGGACUGGUCCUGACACUCAUGAGCGAAAGCGUGGGGAGCGAUCCGG
rnacentral:rRNA from 1 species